GUGAGGGGCUGGGCGAAAGGAGGGAGGGGAGAGGAUUGGGGGGGGGAGAGAACGCGCGCCCCAAGAGCGAAAGCAAACAGCUAGCUGUAGCGACGCUGCCGCAGUUCACACUUCCCAACAGGUUAGCUAGCCUAGGAUCCACCACCCGGUAUUUCGCAGGAAGGGGGGGGGGGAGAGAUAGCUCGUGGAGGGGAGAGCCUUCCUGGAGGACAGAGGGAGGGAGAGAAAGAG
rnacentral:lncRNA from 1 species